rnacentral:rRNA from 1 species
UGGCGGCGUGCUUAACACAUGCAAGUCGAGUGCGCGGUGCUGUAGCAAUACGGUACUGGCGCACGGCGCACGGGUGCGUAACACGUGGGUAAUCUGCCCUCUGAUGGGGAAUAACCCGCCGAAAGGCGGGCUAAUACCGCAUAACAUUCUUUGGACUCCGGUUUGAGGAUUCAAAGCCGUAAGGCGUCGGAGGUGGAGCCCGCGCACGAUUAGCUAGUUGGUAGGGUAACAGCCUACCAAGGCUAUGAUCGUUAGCUGGUCUGAGAGGAUGGCCAGCCACACUGGAACUGAGACACGGUCCAGACUCCUACGGGAGGCAGCAGUGGGGAAUCUUGCGCAAUGGGCGAAAGCCUGACGCAGCGACGCCGCGUGGGGGAUGAAGCUUCUCGGAGUGUAAACCCCUUUCGACCGGGACGAAUACCUCGCAAGAGGGGUGACGGUACCGGUAUAAGAAGCCCCGGCUAACUACGUGCCAGCAGCCGCGGUAAGACGUAGGGGGCCAGCGUUGUUCGGAAUUACUGGGUGUAAAGGGUUCGUAGGCGGUGUGGCAAG